rnacentral:sRNA from 1 species
UGCGCUGUACCACUCUUUUAUUCCUUCAAUUGAAGUUUUAUAUAGAUAUACAUCUGCUUUACUAGCUCGUUUAUGUCUAUCGCUUAUCGGUGAUUUCACCACACAAACAUCAAUUUUUAAAAGGUAUAUAUUAUGUCUAAUUCAGUAAAUGGCACAGUAAAAUGGUUUAACGAAGAAAAAGGUUUUGGUUUCCUAACUCAAGACGGCGGCGGUAAAGAUGUAUUCGUACACUUCCGUUCAAUCGCUUCUGACGGUUUCAAAACUCUUUCUGAAGGCCAAGCGGUAAGCUUCGAAGUAGAACAAGGUCAAAAAGGCCCACAAGCAGCUAACGUUGUUGUUCGAUAAGCUUAGCUCUAGUUAAGUUUACGAAGCAAUUAGGCUCUCUUUUGAGAGCCUAAUUAAU